UAUUGAUAUCCGACUGAAAUGUCUCGAGAAUAGAAAGAAAAAAAAUGAUUCCGAUGGAGAGGAAGUACAAAUAAUACAAGAUCAAUUGCCUAUAAAAACAAUUGAUCAAUUGAUUCAUUUUGAUCAAUCUAUGGAAAACGAGAAUGUUAAAAAAGCAUUUAUAAUGUAUGUCAAACGUAUUGGUGGUGCAAACGGAACAGACAACGUAAAAGCAAUAUUCAAAAGAAUUUUUACAAAUCACCUUGGUACAAAGUGCAGUUGGUUAGGCCAACGAAACAAUUUCAAGAUUUGUGAUCUUUCACUAAUAACAGUAAUUCAAAAUGCAGUAUUGUCAACGCAUUACAAUUUUCAAGAAAUACAUUUUCAAAAGGCAGCGAGUGAAUGGUUCCGUCUUAGCAAAUUAAGGCUUUCAAGAGAACAAAAAUAUAGACAUGAAGCAGACGCAGGUGAUAACAAAGAAAAUUAAAAUAAAUAAUGAAAAUUGAUUUUCAAAUAUUUUUCUUAAUAUAAUUAUCUUAUAAGUAACAAUAUGAGUUCAAAUGCUGUGAAAAAUGUGCAAUGUAAAAAAAAAGUGCAGUGUGUACAAAUGUAGGACAAAACAAAUC